rnacentral:rRNA from 1 species
GACGAACGCUGGCGGCGUGCUUAACACAUGCAAGUCGAACGGAAAGGCCCUGCUUUUGUGGGGUGCUCGAGUGGCGAACGGGUGAGUAACACGUGAGUAACCUGCCCUUGACUUUGGGAUAACUUCAGGAAACUGGGGCUCAUACCGGAUAGGAGCUCCUGCUGCAUGGUGGGGGUUGGAAAGUUUCGGCGGUUGGGGAUGGACUCGCGGCUUAUCAGCUUGUUGGUGGGGUAGUGGCUUACCAAGGCUUUGACGGGUAGCCGGCCUGAGAGGGUGACCGGCCACAUUGGGACUGAGAUACGGCCCAGACUCCUACGGGAGGCAGCAGUGGGGAAUAUUGCACGAUGGGCGGAAGCCUGGUGCAGCAACGCCGCGUGCGGGAUGACGGCCUUCGGGUUGGAAACCGCGUUCGCCUGGGACGAAGCGUAAGUGACGGUAAUGGGUAAAGAAGCACCGGCUAACUACGUG